rnacentral:rRNA from 1 species
AGGACGAACGCUGGCGGCGUGCCUAAUACAUGCAAGUCGAACGGCUUUUCUAUGGAAGCUUGCUUCACUGAGAAGAUAGUGGCGAACGGGUGAGUAACACGUGGGUAACCUGCCCAUAAGAGGGGGAUAACAUCCGGAAACGGGUGCUAAUACCGCAUAGUUUUCUUGAUCGCAUGAUUGAGAAAGGAAAGACGGCCUUUGUGCUGUCGCUUAUGGAUGGACCCGCGGCGUAUUAGUUAGUUGGUGAGGUAACGGCUCACCAAGACGAUGAUACGUAGCCGACCUGAGAGGGUGAUCGGCCACAUUGGGACUGAGACACGGCCCAAACUCCUACGGGAGGCAGCAGUAGGGAAUCUUCCGCAAUGGACGAAAGUCUGACGGAGCAACGCCGCGUGAGUGAAGAAAGGUUUUCGGAUCGUAAAACUCUGUUGUCAGAGAAGAACAAGUUGGAGAGUAACUGCUCCAGCCUUGACGGUAUCUGACCAGAAAGCCACGGCUAACUACGUGCCAGCAGCCGC